GAUGAACGCUGGCGGCGUGCCUAAUACAUGCAAGUCGAGCGAACAGACGAGGAGCUUGCUCCGCUGACGUUAGCGGCGGACGGGUGAGGAACACGUGGAUAACCUACCUAUAAGACUGGGAUAACUUCGGGAAACCGGAGCUAAUACCGGAUAAUAUAUUGAACCGCAUGGUUCAAUAGAGAAAGACGGAUUUGCUGUCACUAGUAGAUGGUUCCGCGCCGCAGUAGCUAGUUGGUAAGAUAACGGCCUACCACGGCAACGAUGCGUAGCCGACCUGAGAGGGUGAGCCGCACCACAGGAGAGGAGACGCGCUCACGCCUACUGGGGGAGGCAGCAGUGGGGAUUCUUCCGCAAGGGGAGACAGGCUGACGGAGCACCGCCGCGUGAGUGAUGAAGGUCUGCUGGUCGUAAACCUCUGUUAUUAGGGAAGAACAAAAGUGUAAGUAACUAUGCACGUCUCGACGGUACCUAAUCAGACAGCCGCGGCUAACUUC
rnacentral:rRNA from 1 species